UUUGUUGAAGGUCCUGUGUGACAAAGCGAAAAAAUGGCGAUUAGAAACCACGUUGCAUGCUUCAAGAGUCGUCUAACGAGCAUAUUGCUCGCCUUCGACUUCGAUGAUUGCUUACCAUAUCUGGGAUGAUCAACCGACACGGCAGGGCUAGCGGUGUAAUCGAAUGCUGAUACACCAGCGCAGACAGUGAGGUGAACACGGGCUCGUUGGCGCAGCCCUUCAACCGGACGCCCCG